UAUGUAUCCAAAUUGGUUGUUUUUGAUAAUAUUGCUAACAAGAAAUUCAUUUAAUUUGUAACAGCCCUUUCAAGGAUUUUCCCAAUACAUGAUCGCGGACUUAUUCGGCGAUAGCUGGUGGGAAGCCUGCUCCUUUCCUGAUUUUAAAAGAGAUCACAAUCAGUACAUGUUUCUGUUGUGAUGAUAAAAGCACUGUGAAUUCAUCAUUACGAAGAGCUGGAUGACUCUUCAUAUGAAAACAAUCGUUUGCGUGUCAGUCUUUACGUUCUUUGGGAAGACUGGUGGAAUUAGAAAAUAUACCUAUUACUCACAGCAAAACAUUCCUUUGGAUUUUUCAACAGCUUCUUACUUUUGAUAAAAUUUACGAAUGUAUUUAAUGUGCGUUUUACUUUA